CUUCAUGUCUCGUUCUGCCUGCGCCCCCCUCUGUCCCUCCCUCCUCCGCGCUGCACACGUUACAUUUCACUGAUGCCGUAAAUACUCAGCACACUGCAGAAAUAUGGAGUUGCAGGAGAAGACUUACCUUUGGUUACAAUGGCAGAGAACAUGCAGCCAGCGUUACUUGUAACAGCUCACCCCGCUAAAAAGGCAAGGAAAGGAAAGCCUGAGGCAGAAAAGGCUGCGAUGAAAAGAGUUCUGGAUAAAGAAAGAAGUCAGACCCCAGUCAACACUGGUGUGGCGUUUUAGUGGUGGAGACAACUGGGGCACGUGAAGGGCCUGAAAAGUGAUGCAGAGGUUGCUCUCUUUCUGUUGGACAGCCAUGAGAAUGGCUAAUGAGUCGGCCCAGUUUCCACUGGAUAUGGUCUGCUGCUUUGCGGCUCCGAUCCAGUUUUGCUCCGCCUUCCGGCAGUCCCCACCGGUUGCGGUUUGAGUCCGCCAGGGCGCAGUACGUCUGGAGGUGAAGAGGUUUGGACCAGUGGCCUGACAACUGUGACAGUCAGAGCGGCAGUACAGGUGCCGCUCCAAUCAGAAUCACACUAGCCAAGAAGGGGGAGGAGCACCUGCAUCCUGAAAUCACAUCAGCUGCAGGGAGAAACGGAGGAGGCCAGCGACAGUGUUCGGGAAAGUCCCUCGAGUGGCAACAGGGCUAUACAGCAGACUGACAAACAGCUCAUCUCUCCAUAGACGACACCUGCCAGCUCUCCCUGCCAGCCCGCACUGAUGUGUGGCAUUCCUAACUCAAUCACGAUCGUGAAACACAACACCUGCAAUCUACAGAAAGUAGAGGAAGCUGCCAACUUCCUCCCAUGUGUUUUAAAGGUUCUUUUCCAUGUAAAAGUUAAAAAGGUCAAAGUCGGCACCAACAGAAGCUCCUCUCUCCCACAGAAAACACUGAACCUGAAACACAUCGUCAGUAGUCCCACAUUUAAUUGUGUGACUUUGUGACAUCAUGCUACAUCACUACUACACUUGCUUUGGUUGGCUUCCUGCACUCCACAUUAGAUAAGCCACUGUGCCUUGACAUUAAUAAAGUUGCAAGCAAAGAAUGGGGGUGUAGGUAUACAUACAGUGUAUGCUGCAGUGCAAUGCCAAGAGCAUCUAUUAAUGAGAAGAGGCUACAUUGUAGAGGAACAUCUGGUCCCUCGUGGCCAAUUCGUCUACUUGGGCACGUUACGUAUCCAGUGUCCCCUUCCUCUCUCUCCUCAGCAGAAGGCUUCCUGAGUGACAGUAGUUUGCCAUGCAUUGGUCUGUUCUCUCUUCCCAUGGGUCUAAUUUGUGCAAGCUGCUUUUGAAUUGUUGCAAAGAAGAUGCAGGAACAAAGCCAGCUGAGGGGGCUGGGGCGUGUGGGACCUGCUGUUCCUCUGUGCCUUCAGUUGUGAUGCCAGUUAAUCUAAAUUCUUCUGAUCUUCCCUGCAACCCUUCCUCUUUCGGCCCGAAAGUAUUUCGCCCCGCGUGUGCACUGUUUGGUUAUAUAAUGACGCGAAGGUGUGAGGUGAAGAGGUUAGUGGGGUAAAGCUUGAGUGCAUGACUUUUGUGCAUCUCAAAUGACUCCUGCUGCAUAACGGAAAACUAAAUGUGUCACUUGUUAUCUGAUUAUUUUGCAACAACACGCAGCACUGCAUACUCCUAAUUGGUAUUUACACAGCUUCAUCAACAACAUCGGUGCAAUUACUUCCCCUGUCUUUUUUCUCACCAUGUCAAUAUUCACCUGACAUUUGCAGCAGCAGCUAAUGAUAUCCUUCAAAGCCUUUGACUAAGCCAUGACUCAGAGUCUAUGUUCCUUCAGGGAAGAGCCCUGAUUUUAAAAGUACAAGCAUCGUGCAGUUAUUUUCUCUGCAGGAGACAGGAUGAAUCAGCAACAUCUGAACACUGCAGGAGAAAAAGUCAAGGGAAUGAGCCGAGGCCUUCAAAGUGUCAGUUUUGGAAAAAAAUGAAAAAAAUAAAGCCUGACUGCUUGUCGAGUGAAGAUUAGUCACCUGCAACUUAAAAAGAGUCGGGGUGCAGAGCUUCUGUGAAAAAGAAAUGUAACAUGUCAUUCCUCUGCCCAAGGAGAGCUCAGUUUGCCUUCUAUGUAGCCUUUAAGACCUGGAUCCCCUAUAGCAAGAGAGGGGAGCUCCUGUCCUGACAACUCAGCUGUAAUGACAUGCCAAUUUACAACUCCCCAAGACAUGAAUUAGACAGUCUACAGCAUGCAAACUGUGGCGGUGACAGUGCUCAGUGUGUUUAAACCAGGAAAAUGGAUAUAUCGGUAUCACUUCUUCAAGAAGAUCCCAAAUACGAAAUGAAUUGCGUAGUUGUGUUUAAUGUGUAAAAGUUGUGGCAAAUGAAACCUGUCUUCAGUCAUUCAGUGUUCACUGUUGAUUAUAUUAUUGUUUGUACACCAUAACCUAACAAAUGUAUGAAUUUUUAUUAAAGAUUGCAUCUUGUUUUCAUCAU